rnacentral:rRNA from 1 species
AUUGAACGCUGGCGGCAUGCCUUACACAUGCAAGUCGAACGGCAGCACGGGAGCUUGCUCCUGGUGGCGAGUGGCGAACGGGUGAGUAAUGCAUCGGAACGUGCCCUGAAGUGGGGGAUAACGUAGCGAAAGUUACGCUAAUACCGCAUAUUCUGUGAGCAGGAAAGCAGGGGAUCUUCGGACCUUGCGCUUUUGGAGCGGCCGAUGUCGGAUUAGCUAGUUGGUGGGUAAAGGCCCACCAAGGCGACGAUCCGUAGCGGGUCUGAGAGGAUGAUCCGCCACACUGGAACUGAGACACGGUCCAGACUCCUACGGGAGGCAGCAGUGGGGGAAUUUUGGACAAUGGGCGCAAGCCUGAUCCAGCCAUGUCGCGUGAGUGAAGAAGGCCUC